rnacentral:rRNA from 1 species
AACGAACGCUGGCGGCAGGCCUAACACAUGCAAGUCGAACGGGACCUUCGGGUCUAGUGGCGGACGGGUGAGUAACGCGUGGGAACGUGCCCUUUGGUUCGGAAUAGCCCCGGGAAACUGGGAGUAAUACCGGAUAAGCCCUACGGGGGAAAGAUUUAUCGCCAAAGGAUCGGCCCGCGUUGGAUUAGGUAGUUGGUGAGGUAAUGGCUCACCAAGCCGACGAUCCAUAGCUGGUUCGAGAGGAUGAUCAGCCACACUGGGACUGAGACACGGCACAGACUCCUACGGGAGGCAGCAGUGGGGAAUCUUAGACAAUGGGGGAAACCCUGAUCUAGCCAUGCCGCGUGAUCGAUGAAGGCCUUAGGGUUGUAAAGAUCUUUCAGUGGGGAAGAUAAUGACUGUACCCACAGAAGAAGCCCCGGCUAACUCCGUGCCAGCCGCCGCAGUAA